rnacentral:rRNA from 1 species
AAUAGAUACCCCGGUAGUCCAUGCCGUAAACGAUGUCUACUAGCCGUUGGGGCCUUUGAGGCUUUAGUGGCGCAGCUAACGCGAUAAGUAGACCGCCUGGGGAGUACGGUCGCAAGACUAAAACUCAAAUGAAUUGACGGGGGCCCGCACAAGCGGUGGAGCAUGUGGUUUAAUUCGAUGCAACGCGAAGAACCUUACCUGGUCUUGACAUAGUAAGAACCUUCCAGAGAUGGAUUGGUGCCUUCGGGAACUUACAUACAGGUGCUGCAUGGCUGUCGUCAGCUCGUGUCGUGAGAUGUUGGGUUAAGUCCCGCAACGAGCGCAACCCUUUUCCUAUUUGCCAGCGGGUUAAGCCGGGAACUUUAAGGAUACUGCCAGUGACAAACUGGAGGAAGGCGGGGACGACGUCAAGUCAUCAUGGCCCUUACGACCAGGGCUACACACGUGCUACAAUGGUCGGUACAAAGGGUUGCUACCUAGCGAUAGGAUGCUAAAUCUCAAAAAAGCCGAUCGUAGUCCGGAUUGGAGUCUGCAACUCGACUCC